AGGGGUGUCGCCAAGUUGGUAAGGCAUCAGGUUUUGAUCCUGACAUUCGUUGGUUCGAGUCCAGCCACCUCUGCCA
rnacentral:tRNA from 1 species